rnacentral:rRNA from 1 species
GAUGAACGCUGGCGGCGUGCCUAAUACAUGCAAGUCGAGCGAACGGACGAGGAGCUUGCUUUUCUGAUGUUAGCGGCGGACGGGUGAGUAACACGUGGAUAACCUACCUAUAAGACUGGUAUAACUUCGGGAAACCGGAGCUAAUACCGGAUAAUAUUUUGAACCGCAUGGUUCAAUAGUAAAAUACGGUGUUUCUGUCACUUAUAGAUGGAUCCGCGCUGCAUUAGCUAGUUGUUAAGGUAACGGGUUACCACGGCAACGAUGCGUAGCCGACCUGAGAGAGGGAUAGCCGACACUGGAACGGGACCACGGUCAAGAGUCCUGCGGGAGGCAGCAGUAGGGAAUCUUCCGCAGUGGGCGAAAGCAUGACGGAGCAACGCGGAGUGAGUGAUGACGGUCUUCGGAUCGUAAAACUCUGUUACUAGGGAAAAACAUAUGUGUAAGGAAAUGUGGACAGCGUGACGGUACCUAAUCAGAAAGCAACGGCUAACUACGUG